CCUUGAUGUGCCGCGUAAGCAAACAUUUCCACAACAGUAUGAGAAAAUGGAUAAUAAUAUGUAUAAAGUACUUAGAACAUGUUUUUCAUUCAGAAAAAAUCAAGUCUGAGAACUCGAAUCAAGGAAUCCUAGCAUUCCGUAUCCAAGGCAGUUGUUCCUCCAAGAAUAAAGAGGAUAAUUAUGGCAAGAGCCUAGAGUUUUAACGUUUCUGAACAAAUGUAUCAUAGUAAAUGACUCAAGAUGAGAACUAAUAACAUUUAACACAUGUUAUGUGCAUUUAGUGACCAACAUUUAGCCAAUGCCCCUUGAUGCCUUAGCACUUCCUCAUUGACCAGCUAGAAAGUUGCCCAAACUUUUCAUAAAUGAAAAUACACUUCAGUGUGAGGGGACAAAAACGGCAUUCGGAAAAUAAGUAGUUACCUCUUUGGCUCUUUCAAGAGCUACUUCUGAUAUAUCCAGGCCAACAACAUAGCGAUCAGGGCAGGCAAUUGCCACGACGUCAUAGCCCUGCAGCAGACAAAAGCCCAUUGAUAAGUCAAGGAGAAAAGAAAGAAGAACAGAAAGGAACGACUUUGGACUCACAACCAGUAUAGAAUUAAAACUAAGCUGCAGAACACCUACGCCAACUUUUGUACCACCCAAAACAGAAAAUGUGAAAAAAAAAAGAAUAAAUUUUAUGUGGAUUUCCAAGAUGAUCUCCACCAUUCCUUAGUACAGACUCUUGAUUACAAAUGUCAACUGGGUGAAUUUACUAAAAGCAAGCAAACAUGCAGCAUAAAAAUGAAACCUGCAGUAUGGUGAAGUCAAAAGAACCUUGAUUUCUUUUCUUCCUAUAGUCACUGCCAUGUUCAAAAACCUGGAUCACCUAAUCCCCAUAGCACAAGGGUACCAUGGUGCUGUAGUGCAUGGGAUGAAGCGCACUUCAUUGAGCGGAUUGCAUUUAAUGCAUAAAAUCUGAAAUUUUCCUCUACAUAGCUAUUCUGCAAUAAAAGCACUUAACUAAUCUACCAAUGUUCUCAGCAUGAUAGCAAACCAAAGAAGACAGAGUGACAGUAAACUUGUAGCUACUCGUUCAAUAAAUAUUGUGUUCACAACGCACCUGAAGCAGUAAACUUGUAGCUACCUGGCAAUAGUGCAUGGACCCAAAAGCAACCAUAUUGCAGUGAUUUAUACAAUCAUGAAAUCUUGAACAAAAGUUAACCAAGGCAGGCAAUUUACAGCCAUGAACCCAAACGUACAACAAUUGAAUCCAACAAGCAUGUGCUACACUUCUAAGCAUCAGUUCCAAUCCAUAAACCCAAUUGCAGAAAUCCCAGAUACGCAAAAGAGGAAAAAUUAGAACUUUAAACUAGUAGGAUAAUACUCACACUACCACAACCAGGGACCAAAGCCCUGCCAUUAGGAAGGGCACCAGUCUUAUGAAGAUGGACAAGAAUUGGGGUAGGCUGCCCCAAGUCCCAUGGUGUCAACCCUUGUUCCCAGCACUUUUGCCAACCAUCUACCCACUCUCCAAGAAAACCCAAUAUUUAAAAAAAAAAACAGAAAUCUUGAAUCAGCAUUAUGAUCAGGAAUUAUUAAGUCCAAAGAUGAUUGGUCUUGAUGAAAAUAAUUACCUGUCGAGCUAGAAUGGAUGACUUGUUGGAAUUUAUCAACUGUAGUAGAACUAGAUGAUGAUGAUGAAAGAAGAGUUGAACUUGUGCUAGUAAUUGAUCUAUUGUGGGACUUUGUAGCAUCUAUUUUUGGGUUCAUCAUCGUUCUCAGAGGAGGUGAUGAGCUGGAAGUGGAAGUGGAAGUGGAAGUGGAAGUGGAAGCGGGUGCGAGCAACCUCGGCCAGCAGCAGGAGAUGAGGCUGACGCUAGAGGAGCUUCUCAUAUUUUCUCGCCGAUUGCUUCCCCCUUCAUUUUUUUAAAUUGAAAAAUAGAUUAUAAUUUGAAAUAAAUAAAUUAAAAAAAAAAAAGCUUAUUACGGGAAGAGGGGGAGUAUUGAUCACCUCACAUAUCAUAUCCUUAUCCUUAUACUUCCUUAUCCUUAUACUAUAUAAGAACGAGUUUAGGACAAAGAAGGUUUUAGAUUUCAACUGCAAGAGUUAUCAAUAUCAUAUUAUACUACUAAUCAAGCCAUCAUAUCAAUAUCUAUACAAUAUAAAUUAGUGUUGGAGUUUGGAAUUAGUGUUGGAGUUAAUAUUUAUCGUCAUUAUAUAAAUUUGCAUUUUUACUCAUAUAAAAACUACUUUUACUUUAACUAUAUAUAACUGUCUAUGACUAUUUUUACUUUUAAUUAUUUAAGUAUAUGUUUUCAAUAUAACUACUGCUAAAUAUUAUAACUACUAAUAUAAAAUUAUUUUAUGAAAAAUAUUUAAAAGAUUAAAGUUUGCUUCAGUAAUAAAAAAUUUAUUUAAUGAGCAUAAAUAUUAGUAUGUAUUUUUUAUUGCACACACAUUGGGUGGGCAAUCAACACUAACAUAAAUCAAAGGUCCUUAUCGUAUUUAGGGCUUGAGUUUUGGUCUAAUUGUGAGAUUGACUUAAUCUUACCAAACUCAAACUCGAGCCCUCUAAUUGAGCUUAAAAAAAUAAUUGUUAUAUUUAUAAAAUAGACAUUUCAUCUUAAUAAAUAAUAAAAAUAUCGGGAACAUAUAAGUAAUUUCACUACUAAUAAAAAAAAUAAAUAUGUAAAGGUUCAUCGAACUAGCAAAUCAAACAUAGAGAGGUUCAACUUGUGUCACUAGGUUUGUCAAGCCAACUCCAAUUACUCAUCAAUCAUUUUCUUCAACUCCAAUUAUUGUAUAUGUAUGAAUUAUCUCCAAUUAUUAUAUUCUUAUGUGUGAUAAUUAAAGUUAACUAUAUUUUAUAUACAAAUUGGUUUGGAAGAAAUUCAAAAUUAAUAAGAAGACAAAAGGUUAUAAAAAGCUAAUGAGAAAGCAAACGAUUAAAUUAACGAUUAAAAUCACUAUAUUAUGUCAUAUUAACUAAGAAAACUUCAAAAAAAAUUAUCUAUAAUUAUAAAAAAUAUAAUAGAAAAGGUUUACAAUUACUGGAAUUAAUAAGAAUUUGUUGCAUCAAAGUCAGAAUGUUUUAGUAUGUAUUUUGCUCAGGUUUUGUUGUAUACACUGGUUUGACUAGAACUGUAAACGAACUGAAUUGAACCGAGUAUCUCAUGUUUGAGUUCUGUUCGUUAAGUGAUUCGAACAACGUUCGUGUUCGUUCGUUAAUUUUAGAGCUCCAAACCUAUGUUCGUGUUCGGCUCGUUAAGCAAAAUUUGUGUUCGAGUUCGAGUUCGUGUUCGGCUCGUUUAACAUAAACGAGCUGUUUGCGAACAUGUUUCAAAUACUCAAAUCCAAAUUAUUUUAAAUCUUAAAUAUGCCAUGCAAAUCAUUAAUCAUUUUCAAAAACAAUUAAAGCACUAAGUGACUAAAUUCUAUUAUCUAUUAACUAUAUAACUAACAUUAACAUAAAAACAACAAAUAAAACAAAAUAAUUUGUCCUCCAAAUAUAAAAGUCCAGUCAUAAAAUUAAUCCUAAAAUUUGUCAAAUGAUCGGGUUUGUUUGGAUUGUGAAUUAUUAGAGAUAUUUUUACUGUACCACUUUUUGUGAUGUAAUGUAUGUGAGAUAAAAAGGUAAUUGGAAAGAUAAAAAAGUGUGUUGAAAAUUGUAAUGAAGAUGUCAGCAAAUAUAUUUUAACAAAUAAACUGCAAUCCAAACAUAAUUAUGUUCAUGUUCACGAACGUUCGUUAAAACUCACGAACAUACUCGCGUUUGCGAACGUCGUUUAGCAUGUUCGCGAACGUUCGUUAAAACUCGCAAACAUGCUCGUGUUCACUCGAUUAUUAAUCGAACAAAAAAAUUCGUUCGAACUCGGUUCGUUUAAGGUUUCGAACGAGUCUUUCACGAACACGAACGAGUCGAAACGAACCAAGCUACCGAACAGCUCGAUUCGUUUAACAGCUCUAGGUUUGACACAAUAUAUUUUGUUUAUUAUAUAGUUUAUUAGUCAAUAUUAUACCAACAACUUAGGUUAAAUAUGAUAAUCUUCCAUUUUCAGAAUUUUUACAACUAUAGAAUGUACAAUAAACUUUUAAUUACUUUGCACACAAUAAACACUUUGUUCAACUACCAAUUGCUUAAUUUUGUUCAUUAUACAGUUUCUUAGCUUAUAUUACACCAAUAAUCAAGGUUUUACACAGAAAUUUAAUUUAUAUUAAAGAUUAAUAUUUUGAAAAAAUAUAUUCACGUGUGGGUUAUUACUAGUAAACCACACAGGGAACAAAGCAAUAGGGUCGGUUGAAAACAGCAAGAAAACUGGUAAUUCUAAAAGCAGCUCUGGAUUUUGCCUCAGUCUAGCUACUGGAUUCGGUUUUGCCUCAGUCUAGCUACUGGAUUCGGUUUUGCCUCAAUCUAGCAACUGGACGCGGAUCCAAAGCAAUGCUUCAGACAUCUCUGAUGAUGUUGGCAUUAUACUCUUCAGGAAUAGCUUUUGAUUUCUGCAUCUCCAGAGUAAGCAGGUUGUGGCAGCAACAACCACACUUUAACACACAGGAGACAAAAGUUAUUCCGAGCACAGUGAGUUACCUGCCAAUCAAUGCCCCAGACUACCCUUCAGCUUUCUUGCAAUUCAUACAUUUCCUUGGACACGAGUCCAAACAGCAGCUGAAAAAGGAAACAUGAAAAUGCAUGUUGCAGAACAUUUCUCCGCCCCCAAAUAACUUGCUGUACUUGUGAAAUAAUAUCCAUGUUACACAGCCUGCAUUGAUCAUGACAAGUUUAGAUUUAAAUGCUUGCAAAUUCAAUACCAAAACUACAGAUUUCCAUCAGCGAAGCAAAAGAAGCACUGGUAUGUAAAACUUCCAGUAUAACUGGAUAGAACUUUAUUUACUGCAUCCUUCUAUUUGGUUAUCUUUGAGAAGCCACUAGAUUCCUAACAUAAAGCAGUGUUACGCUUCCUAACUGAAAUGCUUCUUUAGGCAAAUGGAAGGGAAGACACUAGCCUAACCUAGUUUGGAAGUCUAUUAGAUAUACCAGAAAAUAAAAUAUAAAAAAUAAAAAUGAUAAAGAUAAAAACAAAUACUUGUCAGAUAGGUUGAAAUUAGUCCCCUUUUUCACUAGUUACAACCCUGCUUAAAUCUUGGGUUACAUCAUAAGUUAUAGUGACUUUUCAGUUUUAAGCUAAAGAUGUACCCUACCCAGGAUAAUUGGUAAUGAACUUCAUAAGGUAUCUAUACAUAAUCCAGAGGCCAUCCAACUAUCUACAUGUAUUAUUAGGUAUCAUAAGAAAAAGUUAUUAGGGGAGGAAUCUCAAACCAUCGAGUUAAUGGUAGCAGGUUGUGAAACUAGCAUUCAACAAAUGACAUUGCUGGUAUCCCCAGUUGUCUAAAGCCCCCCCCACCCUCCCCCACACACACACAAAAAUUUUUUAAGGUGAGGAAAGGAAGAAGGAAGAGCAAAUAAUUUUCAGAAAUUUGAGGCCAAGAGGAAAGGGAACCUCUGUAGGCUCCCUUGUGUACCUGCUGACUUCUAUAAGUGGAAGAUGAUCAUUAUCAGGCUUCUCUAUUACAUUUUGAACCUGCAAAUUAAGAAAGUAAUAUAUUAGGAAUGACUUAAAUAACUUAUCACUCUCAUUAGUCACGUAAAAGCAUCUUAAAUUAGUUUUGCCUGAUGCAUAAAGCAUAUGUUCACUUCCUCAGACAUAUAUGGCGUGUUCUCAUGUUUGAAUAAAUUUCGUCCCCAUUAUGUCAUUGGAGAAGUGCUGGAAUCCCCUCAGUGGAGGAACUGUAUUGAGCAAUUUGGCAAUCAAGUUAUCAACCAUGACAAUGAUCAAUAGAUAACCCAUGUUCUAUUCCUGACUUUUAAAGAUUAUAAACCCCAAGUCAGUCUAAGACCAGUAAAAUUGUAGCUUUAGCAUACAAUCAACCAUCAUGGGAUAGCUAAAUCAAGCCUGAAACUGACAAGUUGAAGCAAACUUAUUGACUUACAAACUAUUUAAAAGAGGUGCUUCAAUGCUGAAGCUGUACCCAGGAUACUCCAGCACAGAAAAAGCCAGAGUAAAUUCUCUAGUUUAUCUAGUACUAACAAAAGUUCCUUACAGAGAUUUUUCAGUGUCAAACUUUUGUACUUCCUGCAAUUUUGGACCAACUUUUCAUCCCAUAUUUCAAUGUAAUGAACCAGAUGAUAUGAGGUGAUGGUGGUCAUGAAGGUAAGGCCAUCAGGUGAUAAGAUGAAACAUAUGCAUGUAUUCUUUGUAGCUUUACAGAAAACAAGAGCCUUGACCCAGUGUAAUAACCAUGAAGGCGCACUCUACAUGUGUGCAACAACAACAAAAGUGAAAUCACCUUUUAAUGACCAAAUAUACUAAAUUAUGGCAAACUUUGGCUCAUACAAGGAUUUGCAACUAUUAAGAGAAUAUAAGUAUUCUUGUAGAUAAUAAAUUAGUAAGGGUAUUUUUGUAAAUAGUUUGUUAGGGUUGUACUCCUAUAAAUACUAGUUGGUCACUCAUAAUAUAGUGACUAGAUGUUUUCCUCCCAAGAUACUUGUUGACAUGGUAUCAGAGCAAAAGUCCUAGGGUUAGGGUUAAACAUCUAGCAAAAGUUUUGGUCAUCGCGACUGUUCACGCGAUACUGUUCACCGCGACUGUUCACGCGGGAGCACUGUUCAUCGGGGGUACUGUUCACGGCACUGUUCACAGCACUGUUCAUGGCACUGUUCACGCUGCUGUUCAUCUCGAGUUUUGACCCUUCGUUUGGUUUGGAGUGCUUUCGCUAUGGCUGAAAGUCUAUCAAAAGGUAUUGUGACGUCUACUAAUAUUAUGCCAAUGGUGAUGCCUCAAAUCACAAAUUGGAAGUUGAAUGACACUAAUUAUCAACAGUGGUCAAAAGUCGUUAAGAUUUAUCUGACAGGCUUAGGAAAGCAACGAUAUCUCACAGGUGACUCUCCUACGGAGGACAACAAGAAACUAGUGUGGAUUCAAGAUGAUGCCCAAAUUCUUGGAGCAAUAUGGAAUUCUAUGGAGCCACGAAUUGCUUACAUGUGUUCUCAUUGUGAGACAACAAAAGAAGUUUGAGAUUAUGUCCGGUUAUUAUACUGUAGUAAUCUUUCACGGAUGUAUGAUAUUUCUUUGGAGUAUUUUCAGUUGCAACAAGAUAACAAGACAGUAACUGAAUACUUUGCUGAUCUGAAGCGAGUUUCAGAAGAAUUAAAUGCCGUAAUGUCUCUCUCAAGUGAUAUUACAGUUAUGCAGAGGCAAAGAGAACAAAUGCUUGUGCUCAAAUUCUUGGCCGGUCUCAAAUCAGAAUUUGAACCAAUCAAAUCUCAAAUUUUAGCAGGUGAACAAUUACCAUCCUUUGCAGAGGCAUAUGCUCGGGUCUUACGUUCUGCAUCUAAGGACAAAGCACAGGGUGAUGGUGCUCUAAUUAAUGACAAAUCUGCGUUAGUUGCUAACAAUGGUCGGAUAGAGCAACUUAACUUGGGACGUGGCUCUCGUGGAGGAAGAAGUAGAGGAGGUCGUGGGGGUCGUGGAGGUCGAGGCACCCGUGAGUGCACUCAUUGUGGUUUGAAGAAUCACACUCAUGAUACUUGUUGGGAUUUACAUGGAAAACCAACCGCGCUCAUUGUGGUUUGAAGAAUCACACUCAUGAUACUUGUUGGGAUUUACAUGGAAAACCACCUCGAUUUGCUAAUGCGGUUACCAUUGACCAAGCUGAAUCAAGUUCUUCAGCACAAGGGUCCCAGAAAACUGUUACCAUAUCCGAGGAAGAUUAUGUCAAAUUUCUGCAGUACCAAACUGCAAAUCCCGCAUCUCUUCCCUCUGCUUCUUUAGCACAAAAAGGUAAUGCUAUGGCUUGUCUCUCCACUUCCAAAAAUUUUGACUCAUGGAUCAUUGAUUCCGGAGCUACUGAUCAUAUGUCAGGUACCUCUAGAAAUUUUUCUAAUUUUCAAGAGUCUACUUCCUUCUCUCAUGUUACUUUAGCUGAUGGAUCUACAACUAAAGUUAAAGGAUUAGGCACUGUAGAAAUUAACCCAUCUCUUCCGCUGCCUUCUGUUCUUUACGUACCAAAUUUGCCUUUUAAUCUAAUGUCCGUUAGUAAGCUUACCAAAUUUCUACAGUGUUCAGUUAUUUUUUCUCCUGAUUUUGUUGUUAUUCAGGAUUCGAAGACAAAGAGGACGUUUGGUGGAGGGCGCGAGCAUAAUGGUCUUUAUUUUCUCAACUCUAAUGGUCCGAUUGCGUGUCCUGCUACUGUUUCUCCUCUUGAAAUUCACUGUCGUUUGGGUCAUCCGUCUCUACAAAAUUUGAAGAAGUUGGUUCCUACCUUGAGUCAGUUGUUUUCAUUAGAAUGUGAGUCUUGUCAAUUAGGAAAGCAUCAUCGUGUUUCUUUUGCCCCUAGGGUCAAUAAACGGGUUUCGGAACCCUUUUUGUUAGUUCAUUCUGAUGUUUGGGGUUCUAGUCGAGUCACUUCAAAGUUAGGUUUUAAAUAUUUUGUAAUCUUUAUUAAUGAUUUUUCAAGAGUUACAUGGCUUUAUUUAAUGAAAGAUCGUUCAAAACUAUAUUUCAUUUUUUGUGCAUUUGUUACAGAAAUAAAGAAUCAAUUUGGUGUAUCUGUACGUAUACUUCGCAGUGAUAAUGCGAAAGAAUAUUUUUCCAUUCCUUUUAAUACCUUCAUGACUAAGUCCGGUAUUAUUCAUCAGUUCUCUUGUCCUCACACUCCACAACAGAAUGGAGUUGCUGGAAGAAAGAUUGGACACUUAAUCGAGGUUGCUCGGACACUUAUGUUGCACAUGAAUGUGCCCAAACAAUUUUGGAGUGAUGCAGUUCCAACUGCAUGUUAUUUAAUUAAUCGCAUGCCAUCUACUAUUCUUGGAGGCCAAUUACCUCACUCCAUUCUUUUUCCUCAUGAACCUGUGUUUAAAUUACCUCCUCGUAUUUUUGGAUGUGUGUGCUUUGUUCAUCAGCUUGCUCUCGGGGUGGAUAAAUUAGAUUCUCGUGCUAUUAAGUGUAUUUUCUUAGAAUACGCAUGAGCGCAAAAAGGGUAUAGAUGUUACAGUCCAGUUUUAAAUCGAUUUUUUACUUGUGCUGAUGUUUUUUUCUUUGAAUCCACUCCAUAUUUUAUCAAACAAAGUAUGUCUUGUGAGUUAGACCAGUGUCACUCUUUUUCCUCUCCUGUUUUACCAGUCCCUUCCCCUUUAUUACCUGAAUUAUCUAAUCCACCAGAUUCCAUAGCUCGAUUAUCUCGUCCUCAUCUUCAAGUUUACUCUCGUCGUCCCAUGGUUGAGAAAGUUCCUGAUAUGCCACGCACUUCACCAAUUAACUCUCACUCUUCAAAUCGAGGUAUGACGUCCUCCUCUGAGUUAGAUCUUCCUAUUGCUUUACGCAAAGGUAAGAGACAUUGUACUUCCCAUCUUAUUUCUAAUUUUGUUUCUUAUUCUCAUCUCUCUAUGUCAUAUUCUUCUUUUGUUGCUUCCCUUGAUUCUAUCUCCAUUCCUAAGUCUAUUACCUAUGCUCUUACUCAUCCUGGUUGGAGAUUAGCCAUGCAAGAAGAGAUGUCUGCUUUGGAACAAAAUGGUACUUGGGAUCUUGUCCCUCGUCUUUCAGGUAAGCCUGUUGUUGGUUGUAAAUGGGUGUACACUAUAAAAGUGCAGUCUAAUGAUUCUAUUGAUAGAUUAAAGGCUCGUCUGGUAGUUAGAGGAUUUACUCAAGUGUAUGGAGUGGACUACUUAGAAACAUUUUCUCCUGUUGCAAAAAUUACCUCUGUUCGUCUUCUUAUCUCUUUGGCAGCCACUUAUAAUUGGUCAUUGCAUCAAUUGGAUGUGAAAAAUACAUUUCUGUAUGGAGAUUUGGAAGAAGAGGUAUAUAUGGAACAACCUUCUGGAUUUGUUGUUCAGGGGGGAGAAUCCGCGGUUGGUUUGUCGUUUGAAAAAAUCCUUAUAUGGAUUGAAACAGUCUCCGAGAGCUUGAUUUGGCCGGUUUAGUAGUGUUAUCAUGGAGUUCGGUCUGACAAGAUGUGGAGUAGAUCAUCUGUAUUUUAUCGGCAUUCUAAUGCUGGUAAAAUUUUAUUAGUUGUUUAUGUGGAUGACAUUGUGAUUACAGGUGAUGAUGUUGUGGGGAUCCAGAAGCUUAAAUCCAAUAUGCAGGCAAACUUUCAGACAAAGGAUUUAGGUCAUCUACAGUAUUUUCUGGGUAUUGAGGUAGUUCGGUCUAAAUAUGAAAUUUAUUUAUGUCAAAGGAAAUAUGUACUCGAUAUGUUGAGUGAAGUUGGGAUGUUAGGUUGCCGACCUGUGGAUACUCCUAUGGAUCCCAAUGUGAAAUUAGCAGGAGAUCAAGGUGUAUUACUUGAUGAUCCUAAGCAAUAUCGAAGACUUGUGGGUAAAUUAAAUUAUCUCACUGUAACGAGACCUGACAUUUCGUUUGCAGUGAGUGUUGUGAGUCAAUUUCUUGAUACCCCUCGUACUAGUCAUUGGAUGCUGUUAUACGGAUUCUCAGGUAUCUUAAGAGUGCUCCUGGAAAAGGGUUGCUGUAUCAAAAUCAUGGACACACUGAUAUUGAAGGAUAUAGUGAUGCAGAUUGGGCUGGUUCUGCCUCAGAUCGAAAAUCGACUACAGGAUAUUGUGUGUUUGUUGGUGGUAAUUUAGUGUCGUGGAAGAGUAAGAAGCAAACAGUUGUAUCCAGAUCAAGUGUAGAAUCUGAAUAUCGCGCUAUGGCUCACACUGUGUGUGAGUUGGUUUGGUUGAAGAGCAUGUUAUUUGAACUUGGGUUUGAGCAUAAACAGCCUAUGAAUUUAGUGUGUGAUAAUCAGGCGGCUGUUCAUAUUGCGUCUAAUCCAGUGUUUCAUGAAAGGACAAAACAUAUUGAAGUUGAUUGUCAUUUCAUUCGAGAGAAAUUGUUUGACGAGGUCAUCAAGACAUCUCAUGUACCGUCUAUAGAUCAAUUGGCUGAUGUGUUUACCAAGAGUUUAGGGGGCUCUAGGGUGAAAGACCUUUGUAACAAGUUGGGUGCUUAUGAUAUAUAUGCUCCAACUUGAGGGGGAGUGUUAAGAGAAUAUAAGUAUUCUUGUAAAUAAUAAAUUAGUAAGGGUAUUUUUGUAAAUAGUUUGUUAGGGUUGUACUCCUAUACAUACUAGUUGGUCACUCAUAAUAUAGUGACUAGAUGUUUUCCUCCCAAGAUACUUGUUGACAGCAACCUAUAUCAUGGCUUCCUUUUUUCCAUUUUUGACAUCCCAGUACAUCGUAUUUGUAGGAGAAAAUUUGUAUAACAUGUAGCGCUUCUUCCUAAAAAUCACAAAUGAGAAAAUUCAAGAGAGAUCAUAAAGGUGAGACAAAAAACAUUUUUGCCUGUUGUCUCACAUUGUGGCGAUUCUACCAACUUCAAAGACAACCAAUUGCAAGUAAAAGAAUAAAUUUUUUUAUUAAAAAAAAAAGGAGAGAUGAGCAAAAGCAGAAGGAUAGAGAAGAAACACAGAUACCGAAAAGAAAAUACUAAUUAAGCAAAGACAGUAACUCUUACUUUAGCCAAUAACUCCUGACUCUCAGGAGGUUGCUUUUUCAAACUUUGAGGCAAUAUAACAGUGAGAAGCUCUGGUUUUUCAGCACGAAGAGCACCUCUAAUAACAGCAGCAUUAGUUCCAGAUGCUCCAGAUGUGAAAAUAUGGUUCUUCUGGAAAUAGAAACAGAAGAGUAUACUAAUUACACCAUACUCAUUCUAGCUGAAAGGACAAAAGGAAUGACCAACUCAACAGCCUGAAAUAGUCGACUAUCAUUUCAUGAAUUGGUUCAAGCUACAGAAUACCGUUAUGACCAAUGCAUAGCUGAGAAUUUCAAUAAGUUCCUGAUGCAUGAAUCCCAUAUUUCUUGUCCCAAAGAACCCAAUAGCCCUUGGGCCUUGUUGUUGAAUUGCUAGUAACUCCUAAGAACACAAAAGAAUAUUCACAUAAGUUGUUGUGAAUCUACAAAAGCAUUGAAGAUGUUAAGACAUUCAUAUCAACCUUCCAACACAAUCUAAAACCUGAAGACUCGACAAACCCGCCAGAAGUUCAAUGAUACCAAGAGGAAAUGAGUAAUUAGUUAUAAUCAAGUUUGUCUCUUUAUCUUUCUGAUUUAUUUUCUGCUCACUAAGGUGAAUACUUAAAGUUGAAGCAAAAGGGCCUUUACCCAAGUAAUGAUUACUUGAAGUUGAAUACUCAAAGUUGAAGCAAGAGGGCCUUUAUCAAACUAGUGAAAGAAACUCUCUUAUGUAGCCUUUCGAAAGGUACUUCUAUUGUGAGGAUUUGCAACUUACAAACAAAUGGAAAUUUUGAAAACCUAAACACUGAAAGUGUAAAUGCUUUGCCAAUAGUUUAUAUUGACAUCCUAUCUAACCAAUUCUUCUGUUGAAAUGAGUCAAGUAAUUUAUCCACACAUAGGCAUGAAAACUAUCUAAGGUCAUUCUGCAUGCUCUCUUGCCUAAAGUAUGGCAUGCUUGAAAGAUUACAAUGCAAAACGGUGAUCCCAUUAGAGGUACAUGGAAAGUAAGUAACAAAAAAUUGUUGAUACUGUUUAAGUGGUGUAAAGAAAAAUUGUGGUCAAAACUUCUUGCCAUCUGAACCUCAGUUUGCACAUUAAAUAUACUAAACCUGUAUGUAGUCCACAUCAGGGGCAGGCUUGUACUCAGACAGCAGAACUGCUCCUGACCCUUCAACAAUAGAUUGGGCUUGAGUUGGAAUCUGAGUUUUGACCUCUUCAUCAGAACCAUACAUUUGCACCCGAUGAUCAUCUUCAUCUCUCACGCCCUCAGAACCUUGAUGUCUUUUCUCAUAUCCAUAAAGCCACUAUAUCAGCACAUAUAAAAGAGAGUUCCCUGGUAGUAAAUCAUUAGUGAAAACCAACUGAUGCGUGUAAAGAAAUAAGAGAAGCUCAAGCUUGCAAGAAUAGCAUUUCUAAUGAGAAAUUCUCAGUUUUCAAAAGCAAAGUUGUUUGAGAAAACUUGUUAAAACCACUAAACUACAAAGAAAAUUAAUGCGUUCUACACCCAAGCACCCUCAGCAAAGUGCAUUUGUCAUGUAAGACCAAUAAUCGGUCACAAUGUAAAGUUAGUCAUUCCAUUCUAGUUGCUAUUAAACCAUGGAUCAAGUAUGCCAUCAUGACAUAACAUAAGUUUGCAGCAACUGGCUCAAAUAUCCUUACCAGGAAUAGAAAACAAAAUCUCUCUUUUCAAACAGCCAACGGGAUACUUGCAACUCCGGCACAAACUGCACUUAUACCUAAUAGUCUGACAGAUAACUAUCUAACAGCCUAAAUUUUUUUCCCCAUUUUGUAAAUAUAUUUCGGCUUACCUGAGUUUCUCUAAGGGGAUGUGGUCUAAGCUCAAGGCAAAGAGGGCAGCCCGGGUGUACCACAACCCGAGUAGGCACCUUGAAAAUCCCCACUCCACCCCCACUCCCCAUAAACUCCGGCAAUGGUUGGUAGUUCUGCGGCGGAUGCUGAUGCUGAUAUUGUACGUAUUCCUCAGAGCCACCACCAUCCCCCAUUGACAAUCCAUCAAUCCUAUGAUUAAUAUUAUAGUCCGCGUUACAAGAAGCAGAGCCAACAGUGGUGGAAUAGGGGUAGAAAUCAUCAUCAUCAUCAUCAGAUGAAUUCUCCAAGAAAUAGCUGUAACUAUUACUGCUGGCAAUGCCGAUGGUUUUAGCAUCAUCUAAGCUGUGUUUUCGCACUUGGCGAUGUUUCUUGUGAUGUGAUCCUGUGCUUGUACGCAGUUGUUGGCUAUAUGAUUAAGUUUUUUCGGGCACAGGCGGGAAGUUUGAUAAUCCUGCCAAUGCAUCCCUGUCGUCGUCCUCCAAGCCACGGUCGUCCAUUUUGUUUCCUUUCUCAAAUUAUGGAUACAACAUCUGAGAAUGAUUGCUAGUGUUCUUGCAGGGAUGAGAUGAUCAAAAUCCAAGAGAAAAGGCUUGAAAACUUGCGGAGAGAGAGAGAGAGAGAGAGAGUGGAGGAGAAAAUGUCAACAAGUUUGGAAGUGGGGAUAGGAAAGAUUGCAUGGGAGUGCGAGGAUUGACGCGGGGCAUUCUGGUUUCAUACGGACGAGAACGUCAAACGUUGUUGUUUCUGUUCUUAUAUUUUUGGCUCCCAUUCCCAGGUUGAGUUGUAAAGUUUCAUGGUCGUGGGGACUUCCAUUCCAUUUUUCUCUUUGUCGAGCCCUUUCACUUUAACUCUGGGAUGGAUCGUGCCUAAUGAGCCGGGCAUUUAUAAGUUCGAGUUCAACUUAUUUAAUUUGUAACAUCUUCGGAAUUCGGAUUUUGGAUUAUGAGUUUCAAAUUAAUAAAUAUGAAGUCAUAUCCAACUCACAUAAUAUUCGAAUUUAGUUCAAAUUCACUUAUUACUCCUUAAUUUUCUUAAUAUAAUUACUAUAACUAUUAAGUUGUACAACUAUACAAGACUACAACAUUAAAACUAAAUAUGAAUAAGUAAUAGUUUUUAAAAAGCAUAUAAAUCAAAAAAUUUUCAACAAUAUUUAAAUCUAAUUCAUUCAAAAAAACAUGAAAAAUAGUAAUAAAACAUGUGGUCAUAAAUCAAUAUAUUUUUAAAGGUUGGAACUUCUUUAUAACCUUGUGAUUUGAAUCCAAAUAUGCUUGAUGAUUUGUGUUUUUAGAUCAAAAAUAAAUCAACCGAUAUUAUACCAACACAAAAAUUUACUCAACUAAUAAAAAAAGUUAAUAUUCAUUUACGUAUUACUGAUAUUGGCUCUCAAGAAAGCUAGUAGAAGAACUUUCAGAUAUAUUUUAAUUAUAUUUAGCAUUUAAUAAAACAUUUGGAUGUAAAAUUAUACAUAAUAUCAAAAUAUAAAUAUUAUAUAUAUAUGUAAGUAAUUAAAGGACCGGACCUAUAUCGAGUUUGAGACUAAUAAGGCCCAAACUCGACUCAUAUUUAAUUUGAGCCGGACUCAUAUUUAAUAGGUCGGCUCAUCAAGCUUUUUCUCGAGCCAAGCAAGCCGAGUAUGGACUAGCCCGACCCCAUUGACAGUCCCACUUUGGGAUCGAUCAAGCCCUAAUAUAUACUAAUGGUGAAUUCAUUCAUAAAUACUGCAAUUCUUUGACAUAAUAAUAAUAAUAAAAAAAAAAUUAAUAAUACACGUCUAAUAGAUUUGAUUGUAUAUAUAAACAACAAAGUGGUGUACAACCGUGGAAGCCCACCGUACAAGUAGACACAUUUGCAGAAACCAUAAGACCAGCUACCAAGUGGAAAUAUGAUCAAUUCUUGUUCAUUUUCACCAAUUUUUUUCAUUAUUCGAGUUGAAUUAAUUUGCUCCAAAUAUUUAUUUUUUAGUUGUAGGAAAAAAAAAAAAAAAGAGGAAAAACCAUAUGAGUAGAUAGAGCUUUCUCCCAAGCUAAUUAAACCAAGUUUUAUACGUGAUUCAACUAAGAUCAAGAAUGUCUAUCUCCUGUAUGUAGCUAAAGCACAUAGAAGGAUAAAUUACAAUGAGUACACACAAAAGAAGCAGCUCAAACUCAGACUUGUACAAGUUUGUCCAGACUAGCAUGAAACAACAAAGAGACUUAGAUUGAACAGAGUUUCAAUCUGGGAAGCAAUUCAACAAACCUAAAUCAUGGAGUAUUACAGUUUUGAUUCUUGACUGGAUGGCAUUACCAAAGCUUAUGGAAAUUAAAAGAUUGAUCUUUUCCACCUAGCAAGCUUCUCUCGUCCCUGCCAAGGAAUUAAAGAGUGCAAUUACUAUCAAAGGUCUUUGCUAUGUAUCAAGGUUAAUGGUGAUUAAACAGCCAAAACCAUAAAUAAAUGGACCACCAUAUCCAAAGCUCAAGUACAGCGUAAGAAGAAACGCAUAUAAGCCAAAGAGAUACUUUCAGCUUUUGGUGGGGAGGACUUCUAACAUUACUACAAUAAACAUAAACUGGACAUCAUCAAUUACAUCUCUUGUACCAAUGAGAGCCAUCUAUUGGGCAAUAUCAGACAUCGAUUAAUUCAAAUUAUCUCCAAAAGUUUUUUUUUUUUUUUUAACAGGAUUCUACCGGCUGUGAAAGGAAUCAGACAAUUAACAAAAAGCAGAUAAUAGCAAUAGAUGGUUUCUCUGUUUUGGAUCUCAGAUAUUCAGAUCAGAAUGUCCUAAUGUAACAGUGUUUAUUCAUAUGCAAUAGCCAAGUUCAUUUUCAAUGGGAUUUCCAUCAACUGAACCAAGACCAAAACUAACAUGACAAAUCUUACCAUGCGAGGUGAAACAACCAGUUCAUUUUCCACGAUAGAGGUAGCCUCGAACCCCAAUGGGUGCAGCACUUCUUCAUAACUGCAUCCACAGAUUUGUCAUCAGUUGCAUGCAGAACCAAAAAAUGAAUGUAAAUAAAAAAGUGAGUGCUUCUCCAUGUGUCAAUCUUUAAAAAGAAUAAAUAGAUUCUCAGAAGAGACGACAAGAUUGUUCUGAUUAUGAUAACUAAAAUUGGCACAUACUCAGUAGUAGAUACUUUGUAUGGAGGUCCCCCUUCAUGAUCACUAAUCUGUUGAAAGAGAAGAUAAAUAUAAUGAGAAUCUAAAAAAUUCAAGAACAACUAUUCAAAAAGCAAUGUUGACCAGAUUUAGUAGGAUAAAGCACAGAAUUUCCUCUAAAAUAACAUUGUGCAAAUAAGAUGUUGCUAACCUUCCUAUCAGGCAUGUUAGGCAUAUGAAACUAGAAGAUAACACACGAGCAAGAAUUCCAGUCAAUUGUCUAACCCACAUUCAACAAUAGAUCUAUCAACACAUAUAUUAUACUCUUACAAUAAUCGCACUACACAAAUUCCAGAUGCUAACAUGGUGAAAUCAUUUUCAGAGUAAAACACUGAGAAAGGCAAUUUGACGAGAUGAUAGCAUACUGGAAACAUCAGAGUUAUGAGCUCUCCAUCUGGUUUUAAAAGGUCUCGAAUUCUAACAGCCCAAGAUGGUCUCAUAUCUGGAUCGAUGGCACAAAAGAAUCUGCAAGCGAAUUCGUGCAAUAGUUAGCAAGCAAAAAUUUCUUCUCACAUGACAAUCAACUGAUGGUCAUCUAAUACUCACGUGUAGUCAAAAAUGAGAUCAAACAACUGAGUGGGACGCCAUGUGAAGAAGUCUGCCUUCAAGAAUUCAAAGUGUUCUUGGCUUGAUAAUGAGGACAACUGCCUUGAUGUGCCGCGUAAGCAAACAUUUCCACAACAAUAUGAGAAAAUGCAUAAUAAUAUGUAUAAAGUACUUAGAACAUGUUUUUCAUUCAGAAAAAAUCAAGUCUGAGAACUCGAAUCAAGGAAUCCUAGCAUUUCGUGUCCAAGGCAGUUGUUCCUCCAAGAAUAAAGAGGAUAAUUAUGGCAAGAGCCUAGAGUUUUAACGUUUCUGAACAAAUGUAUCAUAGUAAAUGACUCAAGAUGAGAACUAAUAUUAACAUUUAACACAUGUUAUGUGCAUUUAGUGACCAACAUUUAGCCAAUGCCCCUUGAUGCCUUAGCACUUCCUCAUUGACCAGCUAGAAAGUUGCCCAAACUUUUCAUAAAUGAAAAUACACUUCAGUGUGAGGGGACAAAAACGGCAUUCGGAAAAUAAG
rnacentral:lncRNA from 1 species